rnacentral:lncRNA from 1 species
CCCACAAAAGCAAACCAUGAUCAUGAUCCUUACCCCCAAGUUAUGACCUAUGCAAAAUAUUAAAGUAUAAAAAAGUAAGAGCACAAGGGCUCUCAAGAGUCCACCCCUUCAAAAACCAUCAAAAUGAAGGAUGGCUAGUAAGAUAUUAUCCACAUAUUGAACUAAAAAUAUAAACUUACUCCCACUCACCUUCAAGUAUAUGUCACG